ACAAAAUCCUUAACACGUAUUUAACGUCGUUGAACGUCAAUAUUUGACGUCUUCUCUUCUUUUUCUUUUAAUAAAAUAUUUUAUAAAGAGAUUAGAUUAGGGUUUGAAGUUAUCUCUUUCUUCUAUUUUUUUCAAGCCAAACACACCAUUAGAAGAUCGACAACCUCUUAUAUCAGAACCUAUUAUUUCUUAUUAAAUUUGUAGAAGAUGAUGCAUAAGAAAAUGGAGCCAAUAUCGAUCUAAACUCUUAGAAGAAGGAAAAUAUAUUGUUUUUAAAACAUCAAUAAUUCGUCAGACCAUCAAUUUCCCUAUUAUUGGACUUGUUGAUACACAUUGAAGUCUCCGGAUUUGGUGGAAGUCUCUGAAUUAGCGACCUUUAGACGCAACGAAAAAUCCUCGUACCACAAAACCAUCAAGUAAUGUUGUUGCAAAGAAAAAAUUAUCAUUUCAGGUAUUUGAUAUAACAUUUUUCUUUUUAGUUUAUAUCUAUUUUUCAUCGAAAUGUGACUUAAUCUAUCUAUACUAAUUCUUAUUUAAAAUUGAUAAAUGCUUCAGGACUCCACUCCUACUCCAGAUACUCAAUUAUUUGGUGCUACCACCAGCUCUACCUUACAUAAUAGGUCAUUUAUUUCACAAGUGUUCCAGGUAAAUACUUCAUUCUUGCUUGUAAUAUUUGAGCUAUCUAUUAUUGUUUUUUAAUUAUUUGAAAUCUUAUAUUUUAUAUUUUGUAGGAAUUUGACAAGAGUUAUGGUGGUUCAUCAUAAAGCUCUGUUAUUUUGCUUUGUUUUUUUUUUUUCAAAAUCAUAUUCGAACACCGAGUCCCUUUUGCUAGAUUGAUUUUCUUUCUUCUCUUGUAGAAUCACAAAUUCAGAUUCGUAUCAUUUUAUUAUUUUCUUCUAGAUUGAUCUUUUUGUUUUUUCUUAUUAUUUUAUUGUUUGAGGCAACUCCAAAGAAUCCAAGAUGAAAACUCUCAUCAAGUUCUCUCUUUAUGCUCACGAAGAAGACGACUAUUCUCGUAACAUCUUUUUUUUUUUGGCUAAAAUUCUUGUAACGUCUCUUCACGCCUUAUAUCAUUUUUUAG